rnacentral:lncRNA from 1 species
UAUCCAGCAUGAACAGAGGGCAUCUCAGUUUUUAUUCUCCCAUCUUUAUUUAAGCUACCAACUUUCUCCUACUGUUAUUCAAUGUACUGCAUUCUUAACAGCAGAUUUGACAAGCUAUACUGUAGAUUGUCACAUUAAUCUAUGUAUUUUGGUUAUCUAGUGCCAUGUAACAGACCAAUCUAAAUCUUAGAGUCUUAAAACAAGCGCAAUUUCUUAUUUCUCAGGAUUCUGCUCUCAGGCAAGGCUUGACUAGUGAUCAUGGUGCCAGAGAGCUGCAGGUAGCUCGCUGCUGGGCUGGGCUGGAAGCCCAAGAAGCUCUCAUUCACUUGUCUGAUGUCUCCCUAUGUCUUCUCCUUGUGGCUAGCUUGGCCUGCCUUGCAGCAUGGUGAUCUCAGUAUGGUGGGUUUCUUAGAGGAUGGCCAGGUUCCAAGAGUACAGAAGUGAAGUUGUCAGCCCUUCUUAGGGCUUAUGCUUGAAACUUACAUGGUGUCACUGCUACCAAACAAGUAAAAGGCCAGGCUAGAUUCAGGGAGAGGGGAAAUAGGAUCUGGGUCUGGGUGAGGGUCUUUUUUUUGUUUGUUUGUUUGUUUUGUCUUUUUGACUUUUGAGGGCCGCUCCCGCGUCACAUGGAGGUUCCCAGGCUAGGGGUCUAAUCGGAGCUGUAGCCACUGGCCUAUACCAGAGCCACAGCAACAUGGGAUCCGAGCCGCGUCUGUGAUCUACACCACGGCUCACGGCAAUGCUGGAUUCUUAAGCCACUGAGCGAGGCCAGAGAUCGAACCCGCAACCUCAUGGUUCCUAGUCGGAUUCGUUAACCACUGCGCCACGAUAGGAACUCCUGGGUGAGGGUCUUGAGGGUGAGGAUUAUGGCUGUCUCUGGAGACUACUUAUGCUAUGUACUGACUGACAUGCCUCAACAUUUUUGGAAAAACCUAUAUAUUGAUAAGAAACUGUCAACACCUUUUGGGUGCCUGUGAACCUGUCUUUUCAAGACUUCUGAUGGUAUUGCUUUAGAUUCUUUAUUAGCAGCAGUUUACAAAUAAGAUGGAGCCAAAAUAGCCCAUAACAAUGCCUUCUCUUCCUUCAAUGCUUUCUCUUGCUUUAACAGAAUUACACCUUGUCCAUAUGUGCCGUAAAAAGAAAUGCUUAUAGUAUAAGUGCCUAGUGACUAUUACAGAGUUACUUACCUUGCAGUUUUAGCUCUGCAAGAACAUCCGUACACAGUGCAGGGCAGAAGAGUGUAGCAAUUGAAAGCAGAGACUCAAGAACCAGAUCACCUGAGCUGGAAUAUGAACUCUGUCACACACAAGUUAUUUAACUUUGAAUGAAUUUUGUAAGCUCUUUGUGACGCUCUUGCUUACCUAUAACAUAAAGGAAAUAAUAAUACAACCAUAUAGAUUAUUAUAAGGAUUAAAUGUGGUCAGAACAGCAGUAGACAUUUAAGCAGCAUACAGGAUAUGUCAUCUAUCAUCAUCAUCAUUAUUAUUUUCUCCAAGAUGAUUUUAUUGAUGUUAAUAAUCUUCUUUUGUCAAAAUCAUAUGCAUCCUGCAAGAUUCAUCUCAAAAACUCUAGAUUUAUUUCUCCCUACACUUGUAAUUUUUGCAGUUUUAUUUUGUUUGCUUGUUUGCUUAUUUAUUUUUGUGUGCAUGGCUGCACCCAUGGCACAUGGAAGUUCCUAGGCCAGAUCCUAGCCACACUUGUGACCUAUGCCACAGCUACAGCAGUGCUGAAUCCGUUAACCUACUACACUGGGCCAUGGAUCGAACCUGUACCUCUGCAUCGACUGGAGUUGCUGCAAUUAGAUUUUUAACCCACUGCACCACAGUGGGAACUCCCUGUUUGUUUAUUUUUUAUAAGUAUACAAUUCAGGAGUUUUUGUACUUUCAUUGUGAUACAACCAUAAUCUCUCUCUAAUCCCAGGACAUUUUCCUCACCUUCAAAAGAAAUCCAAGACCCAUCAGCAGUCACUUCUUAUUUCCCCUGCCACCAGCCCCUAAUUUCUGUCUCUAUGAAUUUGACUGUUCUGGACAUUUUGUAUAAGUAGGAUAAUACAAUAUGUGAUCAUUUGUGACUGUAAUCUUUCACUUAUCAUGGUGUGAACUUUGAGAGUUUCACCUAUGGAUUUUUGUGUGUGUGUGUGUGUGUCUUUUUAGGGCUACACCCAUGGCAUAUGGAAGUCUUCAGGCUAGGAACUGAAUCAGAGCUACAGCUGCUGGCCUACACCACAGCCACAGCAAUGCCGGAUCUGAGUUGUGUCUUCGACCUACACCAUAGCUCACAGCAACACCAGAUCCUUAACCCGCUGAGUGAGGCCAGGGAUCAAACCUAUGUCCUUAUGGAUCCCAGUCACAUUCGUUACUGCUGAGCCACAACAGAACACCAAGUGUAUCAAGUAUCAAUUCUUUAUUCCUUUUGGUUGAUGAAUAGUAGUCCAUUAUAUGGAACAUUUUAUUUCUUCAUUAGAUAUUCAGGGUGUUUCCACUUUUUGGCUGUCAUGAAUAAUGCUGCUGUGAAUACUCAUGUGCACUUUGUGUGUGCGUGCGUGGUGUGUCAUCUAUUAUUAUUGUUGUUGUUAUGACACAGGUUGAUUGGUACUAGAUAUUUAGGGCAGAAUAUGUGGGACAUUUGGAACAGCCCGGAUACAAGGUCAGCUCUCAGCCAUCAGGAAUUGCAUGGGUUUUGGCCCACACUUAUGUCCCAUCCCUUUUGCUCACCCCAUUCACUAGUGGGUCUGACACACAUGUUAGGAGCCUGGGCAGCCCCCCAUGUUGAUUUCACUUCCAAGUAAUGAUGGAGCACUGCUGUGCCCCCUUAUGUCUUUUUUUUUUUUUUUGUCUUUUUGCCAUUUCUGGGCUGCUCCUGUGGCAUAAGGAGGUUCCCAGGCUAGGGGUCCAAUCGGAGCUGUAGCCGCCAGCCUACUCCGGAGCCACAGCAACGCGGGACCCGAGCCGCAUCUGUGACCUACACCACAGCUCACAGCAACACUAGAUCCUCAACCCACUGAGCAAGGGCAGGGAUCGAACCCGCAACCUCAUGGUUCCUAGUCGGAUUCGCCAACCACUGCCACAAAUGAACACCCCCUUAUGUCUUGAUAGAAAUCUCCUCUGUUGCUCAGGCUGUGAUGGGCAGUUCUGGUCCCAUGUUUGGAGGGUUAAUGUCAGUCUUUGGUUGUUACUCUAGAGCCCAAGAACAGGCUGGUAGGGUGUCUCUCAAAGAGACAGACUUUCGGCCCUUGCUGGUAUUGUUUUGCCCCAGGAUCUGGUUAUUCUUCAGUCUUUUCCCCCUUUGAAUAUCACCCAAAGCUCCAAACUGUCCCUGAGAAUUCUAGCCCUGCAUUCUUUCCCAAGGCAUAGUACACACAAGCCUCAAAAAGGCCUGAAGUAUCUGGAGAGCUGCUUCCUGGAGCUGGAAUAACCACCUUCCUGGUUUACUUUGGAUAGAGGCUACUGCAGAACUUUCAGACUGACUAUGCUCCCCCAGGAAUCCAAAGUGGACAUCAGCUGCUGUUUUGUUCGUCAAAGGAUCAGUGUCUAGGAGCUUUUGCUGUCCUUGAUAGGGAGGUGUCUCCUCUCAGCCCUAUGCUCUUAACCCCAAGGCAGGAAUGCAUAAUGUGGGCCCAGGAUCCUGCCUGGGGUAAUGGCCCAUCUUUGGUCUUUUAGGCAGCUCUCUAAAGCUACAACUGUACUUCUUAUUACAGUUUCCCCUUCACUUGUGAUCACCAGCUACAGACAAGUGGCCAGCCCCAGAGGCUAUUAGUCCAGUGAACGAGCCUCAGGCCAAUUGCAGGAUGUGAACCCAUCCCUGGGGCUGCAUGGUAAAGAGAAUUCUGUGUCUUCCUUAUCCAGCUGUUCAGCAGACUAGAAACCAUACUGAACAGGGUUUUAGUUUUUCUGCUUAAAAGUAAAAGAAAAAAAAAUUGCUGGCAAAACCCCUUACAAAUAUUUCAGAAGGCAAUGAUGAGCUGGCCAAAAGUAGAGGCCACAGACUAAAUGAAAGUGGGUAUCAGAGAGGUGGUGUUGUGACCCCUUAAAGACAUUUUUUGGUGUGGUAAACUUGACCAUUGAUUUGUGUAGCUAAAGGAGACAGACAAAGAAAGCCCCAGAUGGGAAAGUCCAAUUGGUCUAUCCAAAAUGGAAGUCUAAUUGGAGGCUCUCACUCUUCCCAACCUACAUGAAAUUAGGACCCCGAAUAGCUACAGCCUUAGAUUAAAGAUGAAGUCCCAGGGGAUGGUAAGGGAUGUUGGCUGUAUCCAUUCUUAAUUCUGAAUGGGAGGGAAAUAUUCUCCCAUUCAUACACCUGAGUGCCUUCACAUCAGUUUACAGCUUGAAGUCACAGUGUCUGGAUGGUUUGAAAAACCUCAAGUGGAAAAUUGUGUUUUAAGUUGAAAAGUCUAGGUUGGUUGUUUGCCAAGCAUGUGGCAAAAUGAAACAGAUCUUCUCUGGAGGAACUCACCUGUAACCUAGGCCUCAAGGAAUUCUUCCAGGUAAUGUUCUGGGGGAAACAUGAGUUUAUGCUUUGAAAAAAAAAAAUUAUAAAACCACGUUAUAGAAAUAGCACUGAGAGAGCCUGAAAAGCAACAGCUAGCUGAAGCAUAUCCACAGGGAUUUCAGACACUUGUCUAUAAGUCACAGAUUAUAAAAUAAUGAGUCUCAAGUAAUAAAGUGAUAUAGAAGAGAAGAAAGGAACAUGAGAUUCUAGAUGGUCAGGCGGAUUUGACAAAGAACCAAACAAAAUUUUCAAUGUGAAAGUGAUCAUAGUCAAAAAAAUUUUUUUCAAGACAAAGUUCAUGGUUAAUUUUUUUCAUUAAAAAAUUUUAUUGGCAUUCCUAUUGUGGCUCAGUAGUUUAAAAACCUGAUAUAGGGCUGGUGAAGAUGUGGAUUUGACUGCUGGCCUCAGUCAGUGGGUUAAGGAUCCAGCAUUGCCACAAGCUACAGUGUAGAUAACAGAUGUGGUUUGGAUCCUGCAUUGCUGUGGCUGUGGCACAGGCCAGCAGCUGCUGCUCUGAUGCAACCACUAGCCCAGGAACUUCCAUAUGCUGCAGAUACAGCCCUAAAAAGAAAAAAAAAA